GUAUUUAUUUAGCUCACUCGGUUAGAGUGUGGUGCUGAUAAGGCCAAGGUCGCAGGUUCGAUCUCUGUAUGGGACG